GAUGAAGAACGCAGCAAAAUGCGAUAAGUGAUGUGAAUUGCAGAAUUCAGUGAAUCAUCGAAUCUUUGAACGCACAUUGCGCCCGCCAGUAUUCUGGCGUGCAUGCCUGUUCGAGCGUCAUUUCAACCCUCAAGCCCUCGGGUUUGGUGUUGGGGAUCGGCGAGCCUUUCUGGCAAGCCGGCCCCGAAAUCUAGUGGCGGUCUCGCUGCAGCCUCCAUUGCGUAGUAGUAAAACCCUCGCAACUGGAACGCGGCGCGGCCAAGCCGUUAAACCCCCAACUUCUGAAUGUUGACCUCGGAUCAGGUAGGAAUACUCGCUGAACUUAAGCAUAUCAAUAAGCGGAGGA
rnacentral:misc_RNA from 1 species